CUUGGUCAUUUAGAGGAAGUAAAAGUCGUAACAAGGUAUCCGUAGGUGAACCUGCGGAUGGAUCAUUA
rnacentral:rRNA from 1 species